rnacentral:rRNA from 1 species
AGAGUUUGAUCCUGGCUCAGAUUGAACGCUGGCGGCAUGCCUUACACAUGCAAGUCGAACGGCAGCACGGGGGCAACCCUGGUGGCGAGUGGCGAACGGGUGAGUAAUACAUCGGAACGUGUCCUGUAGUGGGGGAUAGCCCGGCGAAAGCCGGAUUAAUACCGCAUACGAUCUACGGAAGAAAAGCGGGGGAUCGCAAGACCUCGCGCUAUAGGGGCGGCCGAUGGCAGAUUAGCUAGUUGGUGGGGUAAAGGCCUACCAAGGCGACGAUCUGUAGCUGGUCUGAGAGGACGACCAGCCACACUGGGACUGAGACACGGCCCAGACUCCUACGGGAGGCAGCAGUGGGGAAUCUUGGACAAUGGGGGAAACCCUGAUCCAGCAAUGCCGCGUGUGUGAAGAAGGCCUUCGGGUUGUAAAGCACUUUUGUCCGGAA